rnacentral:tRNA from 1 species
AGCCCCGCGGUGUCAGAGCACGUUGAAUUGCAAAUUCAGAAGUGCAGAUUAAUAUUUUGCCCGGGCUU